GCAACAGCCUCGCCUACCACAACUCCACCGCCUACCAGGCACAUGCCGUCCCUUUCUGUGCCGAUAUUGACGAGUUUCUUCAAAACAGCUGGAUGAGCUCGCGAUAUUUAUCUUGUGAGGUAACAAACUUUGGAAACAACCCAACAUCGGUCUCAGUUGAUCUCAAAUUCCGUGGUGAAGACAUCCGGGACAUUCAGACUGGCCUCAUAUA